rnacentral:rRNA from 1 species
GUGAAAUGCGUAGAUAUCUGCAGGAACACCCGUGGCGAAGGCGGCUGGCUGGACCACAACUGACGCUGAGGAACGAAAGCUAGGGGAGCAAACAGGAUUAGAUACCCUGGUAGUCCUAGCCCUAAACCAUCAGGACUUGGGGUGGCCCGCGUAGGCGGGUCGUCCCGUAGCUAACGCGUUAAGUCCUGCGCCUGGGGAGUACGGUCGCAAGACUGAAACUCAAAGGAAUUGACGGGGGCCCGCACAAGCGGUGGAACAUGUGGUUCAAUUCGACGCAACGCGAAGAACCUUACCUGGGCUUGAACCGCUACUGACCAACGGUAGAAAUAUCGUCUUCCCGCAAGGGACAGUAGUAGAGGUGCUGCAUGGCUGUCGUCAGCUCGUGCCGUGAGGUGUUGGGUUAAGUCCCGCAACGAGCGCAACCCUUAUUCGUAGUUGCCACCCGCAAGGGGGAACUCUACGAGGACUGCUCCGGAUAACGGAGAGGAAGGUGGGGAUGACGUCAAGUCAGCACGGCCUUUAUGUCCAGGGCUACACACGUGUUACAAUGCGCGGCACAGACUGUUGCGAACCCGCGAGGGGGAGCUAAUCGGAAAAAACCGCGCUCAGUUCGGAUUGCAGUCUGCAACUCGACUGCAUGAAGCUGGAAUCGCUAGUAAUGGCGUAUCAGAUCGACGCCGUGAAUACGUUCCCGGGCCUUGUACACACCGCCCGUCACAUCACGAAAGUGAGCUGUACUAGAAGUCGCCCAGCCAACCGCAAGGAGGCAGGCGCCCAAGGUAUGGCCCAUGAUUGGGGUGAAGUCGUAACAAGGUAACCGU